AUGUACAUUCCUACAUCAUAGCAUUAAUGAACAUGAUCCCAUUAGAACUCCAUAGUUAACCGUGCUUAGGCUAGAGUAGUACUGGGAUGGGUGAUCGCUUGGGAAGUCCUAGUGUUUUACAUG
rfam:Picea glauca, whole genome shotgun sequence.